UGGGAUAGCUCAGUUGGUAGAGCAUGAGACUUUGGCUGGAUCUACACACAGGAAAAAAUCUCUAUAAAUAAAUCAUAAAUUAAAUAGUCCCCCCCCCUUUGUUAUAACAAUGUAAAAAAAUCACAUAGACAAAGUUUUGUGUUCUACAUCGCCAUCUGGUGUUCCAUAUUUAUAAUGUGGGUAUAGGCUUAUGACACGGCUAAUGUAGCUGAGUCCUCUUAUUAAUCUCAAGGUUGUGGGUUCAAGCCCCACACUGGGCAAAA